rnacentral:lncRNA from 1 species
UUUAUUUAGGCUGCACCUGUGACACGUGGAAGUUCUCAGUCCAGGGAUCGAACCCAUGCUGUAGUUGCAGCCUGCAUUGCAGCAACACCAGAUCCUUAACCCCAUAUGCCUCGAGGGAACUUCCUCCUUUUAUAUUCUUAUACUUCUACUCUCAUUUCCAGCAUUGUUUUAGAAGUAUUAUAGUCAUUAGUUGAUUUUUUAAUCAACCCUAAAAUUAAUGACAGAUACAAGAAUAAAUGGAAAUUAAGAUUUUAUUAUGAUAAAGAUAUUUUGAAUUCUAUUAGGAGGACUGUAACAAUCUUGAUAAGGCUGCAUAAAUGAUUUGGUUUUAAAAAUUCACUAAAUAGCAGUGGAAAAGUUUAAUGUGAAAUCUCACCGCAGCUAAUUAUGUGUAUUAGCUAUGUUGAGUAGUUUGCUAGCCCAGAUAACCUUUAAACUUUGGCUGUAAUGGUAAUUUACUUAAUGGAAGGGCUUAAUAGAAAUAUUGAAACAAAUGUACCUUCUUAGAUUUACUGAGAUUGGAUUGGAAAGUUAGAAGACAUGAAUGUGCUGUGCACACAUACUGACAGAAAACCAUGUCAUUUUAAUGAUUCAUAAUUUCUAAUUAGCCAUGAUUAUUCUGAGUGGUUGUGGAUAUACAUUUUAAUUGUAUCACAUACCGUAAUUUCCAAUUUCCGUGGAGACGCUGAUGAAGUGAAAGUCGUAUUGCAAAGUCAUCAUUUAAAUAUUUGAGAAAUGGAAAGCUUUGAGAGGGAUAAAUAUCCACAGCUUAAUUAUAAUUUCUAUUGAUCUCAGAAACCAAUUUUGUCCCUGUAAGGUGGAUGGCUGUCUCUUUUCUCUUCUCUAGCUCAGUGUCAUGGUGAGGUUUUGGAACUGUGACACCCUCUUCUCAGUGGCUGGAGAGCAUGCUAUACUUCUAUUAUGUAUUCAGCUUUUCCAAAGACAAAAAAGUAGUCAAAAGGAGUGGAGGUAGGGCUGGCAGAGCAAGUGAACUGAGUACUAGAAGGCAGAGAGGUCUCACCGUGAUACUCAUAUUUCACAUCAUUAUGUAGUAGAACUAUUUGGAGGAUACUUAAUCAAAUUUAUCUUGUAUUUAGGUAUUAAAAUCCAAAGUAAAAGAAUAGGUAGGUCUGCAAGCAAAAGACAAUUGUCUGAACAAAACAUGUCUCCCUGUAGCUUCUGAUGUGAGAUGUGGAAAUAAAACAAGUUAGCAGUUGUGUAUCUUCAUGAAGAUUAAAACAAUUUAAAGCUAUUUGAUGGCUUCUUCUAGACACAGAGACAUCCUCUGUGUCACCUAGGGCUUCUAAUAUAUGGCACAGGAAAGCUGAAGUCAGCAUACCCCAGACAACUUUCUCGGAAGAGUUGCUCACCUCUAUUUAUGUGGGACCCACCUGAAUGCAAUAAUUAAGAAGAAUCCAUUCUAUUUCAACAUUCAUUUGCAAUGACACAGAGAAUUUCUUAACUUGAGGUUUCAUACAGACAAUGGGGAGAUUGGUUAUAAACAAAUACACCUACCUUUAGUUGAGAAAUGGGUAUAAUUUAUAGUAGAGUUAACCAAAGCAAAACAUUACUUAUUGAAACUAUAAAUAGUAGAUAUUCUGAGAAUUUGAUAUAAACGUUCAAUUUCUCCUCACCAAUAAAGUGGUGAUAGUAGGUAGGAAGAUAGGACCAGGUUAAUAAUCUCUGCCUAGAUAAAUCAGAUUUGGAUUUCUUUUCUUACAUUCUAUUUGACUUAGAGUGUUUUUCAGUUUGUGUUAUGAAACAGCAAUAGGCUUAAUUAUGUAGUGUCCAUAUAUGUGUUCCCAACACUAAUUGAAAAAAUACAAUGUUUGAAAUUUAUUUAAAUUACUAUAACAUUAUAAGUAAAAUUGUUAUAAAUUUUGAAAAAUGCAUAAAAGCUAACAAAUAUGUACUAAUGCAUUGAUCCUCUACAUCCUAUUAUAUUUGCUUCAAAUUAUCAAAACAUUCUUAUGCCUAUUGCAAUUAAAGGAAAUAUAAAUUAGGAUGUACUUAGUAUAGUUCUUGGCACAUAUUUAGAAUUCUGUUUUUUUAUUAUUAUUAAUAAAAGUGUAUAUUCCUUAAUAAGAAUUAUAAGUGGAAUAAGGCAUACAUUACAAUGAGGUAUGUGAUACUUACCUCCUUGAAACUAUGGUUUAGCAGAAAAAUUAGAUAAACAAUAAAACCAAUAAAGGUUAAUAGAUAUUAUGAUAGGCCAAAUAUAGAUUUCCUUAAAAAUAUAUAACUGGAGCAAGCUAUCCACCUAAUGGUUACUUUUCUUUUUAUCCAGAAGCUCUGGUAUGCACAUGCUCGCUCUUGCGGCAUGUUCGUGCACGCGCUCUCUCUAUAUAUAGUUUAUUGAAGGAAUGGUUUAAUAUGAGCGCUGACUUCCAAAUUGUUUCUAAUGUUCUCCACAUUCAGUAAUUUAACAUAUAUUUCAUAUUCCAGUCUUUCCUGAGAAAAAAGGAUCUUUCCUUUUGUGUUGGAGUUGAAAACUGAUAUCCCACUGGGCAAGCCUACAUGCCCCCUGACAACUAUUUUUUAAACUUAAUUAUAAGCAACUUAAAGGUUUAAUUGUUUUGCCAUUUCACACCCAAUGUUAAAUAAGUAAUUUUCUUUUUAUGUAUAGUAUUUAUCACUUUAUAUAAAUCAUGAGGCAGAGAUAACGAUAAAUAUAUACAGAGAAAUUAAAAUUAACUUUUCCAAGAAAGCACAAAACAAUUACAUUGAGAGUUUCUCUGUAGAGUCACUGGUGAUCAAUGACUACUUUACAAAAGAAGUUAAGGUUAUCAAACAAGAAUGAUUCUUGGGAGUUCCAUUGUGGCACAGUGGGUUAAGGAUCUGACAUUGUCAUUGCAGCAGCUUGGUUUCAAUCCCUGGCUCAGGACCUUCCACAUGCCAUGGGUGCAGCCACAGAAAUAAAUAAAUAAAUAAAUAAAUAAAUAAAUAAAUAAAGGAAUGAUUCUUCAAAUUGUUCUUCAAAUUGCAAUCACAACCUAAAGGAACAUUCCCCAAGUCCCCUGGAGUGAAGAUGUUUAACUGCAAAUUCAUGGCCCUCAAGGGUUUCAUUACUGGGCAUGGUAAGAAGCAGGGGUGACAACUUUUGCUCUCUGCAUACAUUGCGCAUCUUUCUGGAGAGAGGAUCUGUACUUUUAAUCUGUUUCUCAAAUGGAGUCACAACUGUAAAAUGGCAAGAAACCCUGUUCUCAAGGGUGUGGCAAGUCAACUUAAAUCUAUAGGAAGGGACCAAAUGACAGAAGUAGCAGCAUAUAGCCUCUUCCAGUUGGAACUAGAUGACUCCUGGUGAGUCCCUGUUCUAGUUUUCUUUCAAACCCCUGCAAGAUUGAUGACAGGUCAUUUUUCAGCAUGCUACAAAAAGCCAUAAAGUCCCUAUGAUAGUUUCCGUAAAGGUUAGCUGGUUGAUUUGUGACCUGGGAAGUCUUUUCUUCCAGCUUAUGAUUUUCCAAAAGAAAGUUUGUGGGGAAAGAUCUUGAGGAGAAGGCAGGAUAUUUAUGACAUGAUGAGCAGUCUGUACGUGGGUUUCACACUGAGAAGAGAGGAUGGAUGAGGGUGAGCAUCAGGUUGUAGCUAGUUACCUGAUAUCCUGAGGAUGCGUUGAGCUUAGAGGUCACCCAGCCCUAGUGGAGUGUCACCUUUAUAGAGAUGUGGCCGAGCUGUGCCAUUAACUUUGUGUAGUACUAAAUAAUGUUAUGAGUAGCAGCAUUUUGUAAUUAUCAAAGUUCAGGCUUGGAGCUGUUUCUCCUGGGCUCAAAUCCUGGCCCUCUCACUGAGAUGCUCUAUUACACUGGACAACUUUCCUAAUUCUGUCUCAUUAGCAAAACAGGGUGGUAAGUAAUAAGACCUACUGCAUGGGCUUGCUCUUAGACUUUAAUGUUAUUAUGUAUUAAGUACUUAGAAGAGUGUCUUACAUGGGGAACUAUAUUCCAUAUCUUGUAGUAACCUAUAAUAGAAAAUAAUCUGAAAAUAUAUGUAUA